rnacentral:lncRNA from 1 species
CUCUCUUCCGCGCUUCGCUGAGGGACUCACUCGCGCAUCACCCGCGGCUGCCGGUCGAGUGUCCCAGGCGCUCCGGGGCCGCGGUGACCCUCGCGGUGCGGACCGAGGAGGAAGCGCCGUGGGGGGCGGGGCGGCGCCGCACGAUCCGGCCUUCAGCUUCACGGACGUGGGCUGAGAACCCGCCCGCGCCGCGCUGAGCAGGGCCGAGGGAGCCGGCCAGGGCCCCAGAGGAGUCCGGAACGGAUUCCCGUCGCUACCGAGGUCUGCGCGUGUAAGGAGAGGACGUCGGAGAUUUGCCUCGAGGGGUGGGGUAUAGAUGACUGGAGAGGUCAGGCGCGGGUUGGUCAUCGCUGAGGCUGGGUGAUGGGUGGCCGGAUUCGUUAUACUGUUUUCUCCACUUUUCUGUAUGUUUGAUAUUUUUCAUAAUAAAGUUUGUAAAAGUAAAAACGGGGGUUGGGGGUCGGCGGUGAGAAUAGCCAUUUAAUCUUCCUAAAUGGAUUCUGCCCUCAAAGGAUUGACGCUCUUUUCUCUGUCACUCUCCAAUAAUGAUUAGAAUAAUAAGUUGUAUUUUGAGGAGCUGUUUUCUGGUCCCGGGGAGACCCUUGGUGAACUCAGCAGUACCAUCAGCAUGUAUCCCACGAUGGAGCUCAGUUCAGCCAACUGUUGUCCAGGUGGCUUCUGGAUUUGGGGGAUUAUCUAUGGAUCAAGUUUAAUCUCAGGCUGUCUGCCCCCACCGGUCCCCAGGGGCUUCAGGCCUCCCACCCCUAUUCCUGGGGAAGCAGACACAAUUCACCCAUUCAGCAAGCAUUUAUUGAGGGUCAGCCGUGUGCCAGGGCUUUGCUAGCUGCGGGGACACAUGGAUGGAAACAGGUUUCUGCCCCCAAGCUCACUGCCAACCAUUUUAUUGUUAGCCUGGCUGGGACUGCUUGAUGGAAAACAGUCUGCCCGCACUAGACAAGGGCUUGUUGACAACUGACAUAAGGGAAUGAGGUUUUCAGAAGGAAGCAGAGAUCAAAUUUUGAAAUCAGAUGCAAUCAAAUCAGACACCAGGACAGCCAGCAUUGCCUCUGGGUCACAGAUGCAUCCACCCAAAGGCGCUGUCCUCGCCUUGCCAGUGGGGUCUUGGUGAAGACGUGAUGCGGGGGCCUUCUUUCUUUUUGUGGUUAUCUGUGCCAGCCUUCCCUGCAGGCUGCUCUUCCUCUAGCACGUUCUGUUUCUGUUACCGGCUCUUUCCACCCCCGGCAUCUCCGCCUAGAGCCACACACAUACGCGGAGCACCCACGUGGGCCAGGCUUUGUUUUGGGGCUGGCGGCACCAACGUGAGUAAGACUUAUACUCAGCCCCAGCUGCCCCCAGCCCAGAGGGAAGGGGAAGGCCUGUAGUCCGUGGGGAAGAGCGCCCAGUAGGGGUGUGGCAGGGUGGGGCGUGGGCUGGAGAAGGCCUCCCGAGGAGAGGAGAGCUGAGGCCAACUCCGAGGAAUGAAUUGUAAGCCAGGCUGCGAAGCAGGAGGGGAGAUUCCAGGCAGAGGAAACUGCUUGGGGUAAAGAAAACAAAAAACGCAACCCCCCCAGCAUGGUGCGUACUGGAGAGACGGGGUUUCACCAUGUUGAUCAGGCUGGUCUCGAACUCCUGACCUUGUGCUCCGCCCACCUUGGCCUCCCAAAGUGCUGGGAUUACAGAUGCAGAUGCUGUGGCUCAAAGGAUUAAUUAAUUUGCUUAAGAUAAUGCAACAUGAGAAAAGCAGAUCAGGACGGAAUUCCAGAACAAGGAUUUUGCUUGAAAUAACAUCACUACUAAUUGUCUCUCUGCACCUCCUGGCUCAUUUCUCUACUCCCACACCUUCCCUGCUGACCCUAGUCAAGGAGCUGUGAACAUACAAAUAGUGCCUGAUACACUAGGGCCUCGGCAUUGGCCAUGGGAGUGAGGGAGAAAAUCAUUUAAGAGGCUUUGUAGUCGAUUUCAACAAAGAAGGCAAUGCCAGUGAAGCAUCUUGCAGGAAUCCCUCCCUGACUGCUUCAGUCCACAGCGCUCUUACCUUUCUCUAUACACUUACAAUCUGUUUCAUUUACUUCCUAGCAGACCUUGCAGAAACCAUUAUUUCAUAUGAUACGUUUCCCCCAUAGAAUAUAAGCUCCUUAAGGGAAGAGAUUUUUGCUUGGUUUUAUAAUGCUGAAUUCCAAGUGCCUAGAAAGGGCCUGGCAGGUCGUAGGCACAAGAAGUAUUGGUUGGUUGAAUAUAUACUUCUUGCAACCCACAGAAACUGAUGUUGGUCUGGGCCAGGCCCUGCCCUGGCUUCCAGGGAUGCAGAAGUGAAUCGAAUAACUUCCUGCCCUCUGAACUUAUGGGGGAGACAUACAUACCUGCAUAUUCACAAGAGAUUUCAUCACAUGUAACCAAAGUAAAAAGGUGGCCACCAGAAGGGGGACUGGACCUGCUUGUUGGAAGGGUGCAAAUGGAAACUAGAGAGGUGAUUGUUCCAGACAUUCCCAGUGGGACAGGUGGCUGUGAGCCUGUGAUGAACUGAGAGACACCACUGAGUAAAAGUUAAGAGGACAGGCUCUGGAGCCCAACUGUCUGGGUUGAAUCUUUCUCUACCAAUUACUAGUUGUGUGAUGUCGUACCAGUGAUAUACUGUUGAGAUAAACGCAUAUUCCAAGACUCACUGCAGAGAUUCCAAACCAGCAAGUCUGGGCUGGCUAGGAAUCUGCUUCGUUGUUCCACAAACAUGUUAUUGUUUAUUGCAGAGGGUCUACAGACCAUGCCUUGAAAAGCUGUGGCCUUCAGGGAGGAAGGGUCAUGCUAACCAGCAAACUGGAAUGUCACACUGUGUGUCAUUGACAUUUUUCAGUGUGAAAUCACAAACUAUCAUUCAGGGUUAGACUUUAUACUACCCAGUAAGUGUCAUGGAGGAGGCUUCAGGACAGCUGGGGAAUUCAACAGGCCUGGUCUCUACCAGGUUAUCCCGGGACACUCCCCAGCAGCAGAUUUCAAGGCAUUCUGCCUUCACUUUAGGCCUAGGGUGAACCUGCAGGAGGCUCUCUGCAAAUAUUCAUUGAUCAACCGAUAGCUUUUCUAGCCAAGCACCAGCUGGCUAGCCUCAGUCCCAUGCAGAGGUUCUGGGAGGACUGCAGGAACCCCAGAGAGGGCUAGGGUGCAAUGAGGGUGCAAGAGGUGGUACCCAGCUCUGAUGUCUCCAUGUCUUGACUUGAGCUAGGACCUCAUACCCAGGACCCCAGAGAAGCCAGAUGGAAAUAAGGCCAUAGGAGAUGUGAGGGCUCAGAGCCUGCAAUCUCUGGACAAACUCCAUCUCUUUGAGCCUCAGAUGAAAUGCAAGGCCUGAGUGUUACAGGUCAUUCUCCGUUUGUUCAUUCCGUAAAUAUUUCAGCCUCUGUCAUGUGCCAGGCUGCGCUAGGGAGACCAUGGUGAGACAGGUCUCUGUACUCAGUGAGCUUAUACUCCAGAGAGGGAUCAGACAAUAAGGUAAUAUACAUUAAUUAAUAUCAGAAGGUAAUGAGAGGAAGACCGUAGUCCAGGAGCAGCUAUGGCUCAUGGCUGUAAUCCCAACACUUUGGGAGGCUGAAGCAGGUAGAUCGCUGAGUCCAGGAGUUUGAGACCAGCCUGGGCAAUAUGGUGAAACCCUAUCUCACACACACAUAAAAUUAGCCAGCAUGGUGGCACACUCCUUUAGUCCCAGCUACUCAGGAGGCUGAGGUGGGAGGACUGAUUGAGCCCGGGAGGUCAAGGCUACAGUGAGCCAUGAUCACAUCCCUGCAUUCCAGCUUGGGUGACAGAGUGAGACCCUAUCUCAAGAAAAAAAAAAAAGAGAGAGAUAGAGGAAGACCAUAAAAGGGUAACGGAGCUGGUCAUGGUGGCUCAUGUUUACAGUCCCAGCUACUUAUCCAACCCACGGCCCAUGGGCUGCAUGAAGCCCAGGACAGCUUUGAACAUGGCCCAACACAAAUUCAUAAACUUUCUUAAAAAUUAUGAGAUUUUUGCCAGGCACAGUGGCUCACGCCUGUAAUCCCAGCACUUUGGGAGGCUGAGGCAGGUGGAUCACCUGAGGUCAGGAGUUCGAGACCAGCCUGACCAGCAUGGUGAAAUCCCAUCUCUACUAAAAAUACAAAAUUAGCGGGCAUGGCGGUACAUGCCUGUAAUCCCAGCUACUAGGAAAGCUGAGGCAGGAGAAUCACUUGAACCUGGGAGGCGGAGGUUGCAGUGAGCCGAGAUCAUGCCAUUGCACGCCAGCCUGGGCAACAAGAGCGAAACUCCAUCUCAAAAAAAAAAAAAAAAAAAUUAUGAGUUUUAUGUGAUUUUUUUUUUAAGCUCAUCAGCUAUCAUUAGUGUUAGUGUAUUUUAUGUGUGGCCCAAGGCAAUUCUUCUUCCAGUGUGGCCCAGGGAAGCCAAAAGAUUGGACACCCCUGCUCUACAGUGUUCUUAACAAGAGAUCCUGCAGGUUGGACAAGCUUGCUGUACAGCGUUCUUAACAAGAGAUCAUCUAGCCCCUGGGUGGCCAUCUGUACUGUCUGAGGGCUCAUGACUGUGACCUCAGAGACUCUUUAAAUAAUGAAAUCAUGGCUAUAACUAUGGCAAACCUCAAUGGAGAAUGUCAUGCCAAUCAUAACCUCGUUUCACCUGAGCUGCACAAUUACUUCUCAGGUAGGUGCUCCUGCUGUAUUAGGGGCAUUUUACCAAUUGGGAUGCUGAGACUUAGAGAGUUGAGGCAAGUUGCUCAGGUCACUUAUUUGUUAGGCGGCAGAACAGGGAUUCUAAUCCAGGGCGAACUCUAGAGUGCGGGACUCUUAAAUGACACAUGGCAUUGUUGAUCUAAUGGGGUUUGGUACCCGCUAUCCCACAUCCUACUUUUCUCUAAGGCAGGAACUCUUGGAUCUGGAGGUCACAGCCUCCCCUUAGACUGUAAAAAAGUGCCUGCUGGGCACUGGUCCCAUGCUGAGGGCACCCCUCUGGCACAUCCUCUGAGCAUGGGAUUGCUGAGAGCUACAGUCUGGGGGUGGUGAGCCAGAUCAGCACAGAUCAUGCAUGGAAACCACCCUUCUAGGCAACCCCUUCGAAAAGGAAGAAUUCCUGGUCCAGAGCUGUGUUCUUUUCCCAACCUGCCUCCAGUCUGCCUGCUCCAUGACCCCAGAUGUCUGCUUGAGUCAGCUCCAGGCCUGUGUGGGGGCGGCCCCUUGAUGUUAGCAUUGUGUUACUACUGAUGUAUUGGAGAAGCAUGCUGAGAUGGAUUCUUGUAAUUCAGUCCCUUUUUUAAGUAGUCAGAUGAUAAAAUAUGGCAUAAGAAUAUAAGCCUUCCAAGUUAGGUAUGUGUAUUAGGUUUGUAUAAGUCUGUUCCUGCCAGUUUGACUUUGAGAUACAUUGGAGCAAACUGCAAACUUUAGUUUUUAAAUUACAGUUAAUAUUAAAAAAAAAAAUGUUUCUAGGCUGGGCGCAGUGGCUCAUGCCUGUAAUCCCAGCAUUUUGGGUGGCUGAGGCAGGUGGAUUACUUAGGUCCAGGAGUUCAAGACCAGCCUGACCAACAUAAUGAAACCCCAUAACUACCAAAAAUACAAAAAUUAGUCAGGUGUAGUGGUGCACUGUAAUCCCAGCUACUUGGGAGACACAGGCAGGAGAAUUGCUUGAACCUGGGAGGUGGAGGUUGCAGUGAGCUGAGAUUGUGCCACUGCACUCCAGCCUGGGCGACAGAGUGAGACUCUGUCUCUUAAAAAAAAAAAGUGAGGCAUUCCAAGAUGGCCGAAUAGGAGCAGCUCCAGUCUGCAGCUCCCAUCAUGAUUGAUGCAGAAGACAGGUGAUUUCUGCAUUUCCAACUGAGGUACCUGGUUAAUCUCAUUGGGACUGGUUGGACAGUGGGUGCAGCCCACAGAGGGUGAGCUGAAGCAGGGUGGGGCAUCACCUCACCCAGGAAGCACAAGGGAUCAGAGGAUUUCCCUUUCCUAGCCAAGGGAAGCCAUGACAGACGGUACCUGGAAAAACGGGUCACUCCUGCCCAAAUACUGCUCUUUUCCCAAGGUCUUAGCAACCAGCAGACAAGGUGAUUCUCUCCUGUGCCUGGCUUGGCAGGUCCCAUGCCCAUGGAGCCUUGCUCACUGCUAGCGUAGCAGUCUGAGAUCAAUCUGCGAGGCAGAAGCCUGGCUGUGGGAGGGGCGUCCACCGUUGCUGAGGCUUGAGUAGGUAAACAAAGCGGCCAGGAAGCUCGAACUGGGCAGAGCCCGCUGCAGCUCAACAAGGCCUACUGCCUCUAGACUCCACCUCUGUGGGCAGGGUAUAGCCGAACAAAAGGCAGCAGACAACUUCUGCAGACUUAAAUGUCCCUGUCUGACAGCUCUGAAGAGAGCAGUGGUUCUCCCAGCAUGGCAUAUGUGCUCUCACACCACUACUAUUCAACAUACUAUUGGAAGUUCUGGCCAAGGGAAUCUGGCAAGAAAGAGAAAUAAAGGGUAUUCAAAUAGGAAGAGAGAAAGUCAAAUUGUCUCUGUUUGCAGACAACAUGAUUGUAUAUUUAGAAAACCCCAUCGUCUCAGCCCAAAAUCUCCUUAAGCUGAUAAGCAACUUCAGCAAAGUCUCAGAAUACAAAAUCAAUGUGCAAAAAUCACAAGUAUUCCUAUACAUCAUUAACACACAAACAGAGAGCCAAAUCAUGAGUGAACUCCCAUUCACAAUUGCUACAAAGAGAAUAAAAUACCUAGGAAUCCAACUUACAAGGGAUGUGAAGCACCUCUUCAAGGAGAACUACAAACCACUGCUCAACAAAAUAAAAGAGGACACAAACAAAUGGAAGAAUAUUCCAUGCUCAUGGAUAGGAAGAAUCAAUAUCAUGAAAAUGGCCAUACUGCCCAAAGUAAUUUAUAGAUUCAGUGCCAUCCCCGUCAAGCUACCAAUGACUUUCUUCACAGAAUUGGAAAAAACUACUUUAAAGUUCAUAUGGAACCAAAAAAGAGCCCGCAUUGCUAAGACUAUCCUAAGCAAAAAGAACAAAGCUGGAGGCAUCACGUUACCUGACUUCAAACUAUACUACAAGGCUACAGUAACCAAAACAGCAUGGUACUCAUACCAAAACAGAGACAUAGACCAAUGGAACAGAACAGAGGCCUCAGAAAUAACACCACACAUCUACAACCAUCUGAUCUUUGACAAACCUAACAAAAACAAGAAAUGGGGAAAGGAUUCCUUUUUAACAAAUGGUGCUGGGAAAACUGGCUACCCAUAUCUAGAAAGCUGAAACUGGGUCACUUCCUUACACCUUAUACAAAAAUUAAUUCAAGAUGGAUUAAAAACUUAAAUGUUAGACCUGGCUGGGCAUGGUGGCUUACACCUAUAAUCCCAGCACUUUGGGAGGCCGAGGUGGGCGGAUCAUGAGGUCAUGAGAUGAGACCAUCCUGGUUAAUAUGGUGAAACCCUGUCUCUACUAAAAAUACCCAAAAAAUUAGCUGGGCAUGGUGGCAGGCACCUGUAAUCUCAGCUACUCGGGAGG